AUGGGGGUUCGGCGGCGUAAAGCUCAUCGAAAUUAAACCUUACAAGCAUAUUUAUGGGGACUGUCCCUGACAACGGUGUGCAAGCUCAGCUCGUACUGAGAAGCCUAAAGUUGUUAUAAUGGUUACCCACCUUAGCUAAAACAGGUUUAUGUUUCAGAGUGGCCUUCGAGCCUUUUUU
rfam:Bdellovibrio bacteriovorus W, complete genome.